rnacentral:rRNA from 1 species
UACGUAGGGGGCGAGCGUUACCCGGAAUCACUGGGCGUAAAGGGUGCGUAGGCGGCCGCGUGCGUCUGGCGUAAAAUACCACGGCUCAACCGUGGGAAUGCGCUGGAAACUACGUGGCUUGGGUGCGGCAGAGGCAGACGGAACUGCUGGUGUAGAGGUGAAAUCCGUAGAUAUCAGCAGGAACGCCGGUGGAGAAGUCGGUCUGCUGGGCCGUAACCGACGCUGAGGCACGAAAGCUAGGGGAGCGAACAGG